AUAUUAAAUUAAACUAACACUUAUUAAAAUGUUAUAAUACAGAAAAUAAAUAUUAUGUCGCACAAUUAUUUAUAUCACAAAAUUUAAUACAAGCUUGAUAGAAGAAACAACAUGGAGAAAAAUAUCGCAACGCGAAUCAAGACUCGUUACUUUUGGUAGAGGUUACACUUCGAAAAUGAUACCGGCGUACAAUAUACUAGGUAAUAAAAAUCGCAUGUUAUUAAGACACAAUUUAUUAUACAGAAGGAAACUUAGAAUAGAGAAAGACUAAUAAGAAAAAAAGAAAAACAAAGGACGUGCAAGGGAGAAAGAAGUAGGUUCAAUAGGAAAUGAAAAGAGAAAGAAUGAGAAUGAAAAAGACAGUACAGGAGAGAAAGAGAGAGAAGUGACACCUUCCAGGAUAGCCUAUGGUGGAGCCCCAUAGUCGUAUUUGCUAUUUGAGCUAAUAGACAGUAUGUCAACCAUAGGCACGGUUUCGCGCACAAUUUGUAUGUAAAUGUCAAUAGCACAGUAUGAACAAAAUGUGCAAUAUAUGUUUAGAGCUAGAGGAAUCACGACAAAAUGGAGGACCCUAACAGAGGGGAACGACGGAAGGGCAGGGAGUUACGGAGCUAUAGAAGAGGUAAGAGGAAAGGCGAUGGAAAAUGGAGAGGGGGUGGAAGUAGAGAAACAGAGAGAAUGGGAGAUAGAGAAGGGGGGUAGGACGUAAGAACUCGAUGGCAGAGGAGUGGUUAGAUUGGGAACCACGGACGCGCUCCGCAAGGGGGCAGUUUUACUCACUGUUUCACAUCUGAACUCUGGUCAGGUCGGAUAGUUAACUGGCUUUCCUAUCGUACAUAGUUUUCUAUAUACGCACCAAAUGCAACCGCUGUGCAAACUGCUUUCAAUGAACAACAAAGAUAAUCACGACGACACACUACGUCAUUCGAUUUGUGACGUCGAUUCUCCGAUAAAUUACGCACUCUUAUUAUUAUUAUCAGCGGCGUGUCAGCCACGUUUACUCCGCGCGCGGUUAAGAACCCGGAUUAAUGAAAAUUGAUAUUUAAGUCAAAACGAAUAAUGAAUUACAAAAGCAAGAGGAUUUUGUAGCUUACGAAUGAUUCGUUUCACUUUCUUGCAUUUUACUGAACAUGUCAGCAAUUCAACAAAGAAUAGGAAACUUCCUUAUCGAUGGAUCAAUGUCUGUGCCCGGAACUGGGCUAGAGGGCCGGGGAAUCGUUUCUCCGGCAGCGAUUUGCUUUAAGUAAGCUUUGCUAUGUGCGCUUGCGUUAGUGUGCGUAGGCAAGGAGGUUACAUGGGAAGUAGUAACAUAUACGAACCCAGUGAAUCGGGACAUGCGGAUUUUACAGAACACUCCUCUAUUCCUCACGACUUGAUCCUUUUAUGACCAUAAUCAUAAAGUGAUAUUACACGAUCCAAACGGCACACGUAAGCUAUCCUUUUGAACACUCACGAACUUGGUUCACUUCGUAUCUUCUUCAACUAUGCAGUUCCACUUGUAAAAGCGGCGUGCAGUUAGCGCGCCGGGUAAACAGCAACAGCACCAGCAGCAUCGAGUGCCGUCAAUGGCCACGAUAAACGGCAUUACGCGUACGUUACACGGGCCACGAGCGAGCCAAAAACCCGGCGUAGUCUCGCCUAAUCGAAACGGAACUGGAACUGUCCGACUACCGUACUGUUCGCAUACUACUACCUAGCGAAGGUUUUCUUUCUCUCUUUCUUAGGUGCUCUCACACUCCCUCUUUCCUUGCCUCUCUUCUCCUCUCCUAUGUACAGCAAAUGAGCAACGCGCGAGAUUCCGAGAUGCGGCAAAAGGUGCAACCUCCACCUCCCCGCGACGGCGCUACUGCCCAACGAUCACAACAGA